rnacentral:rRNA from 1 species
AACGACUGCUAAUACCGCAUAAUGUCUACGGACCAAAGGGGGGGAUCUUCGGACCUCUCGCCAUUUGAUUAGCCCAAGUGAGAUUAGCUAGUUGGUAAGGUAAAGGCUUACCAAGGCGACGAUCUCUAGCUGGUUUGAGAGGAUGAUCAGCCACACUGGGACUGAGACACGGCCCAGACUCCUACGGGAGGCAGCAGUGGGGAAUAUUGCACAAUGGGCGAAAGCCUGAUGCAGCCAUGCCGCGUGUGUGAAGAAGGCCUUCGGGUUGUAAAGCACUUUCAGUUGUGUGGAAGGGGGUGUAGUUAAUAGCUGCAUCCUGU